GGGUGCAUGAAGUUGGAAUCGCUAGUAAUCGCGGAUCAGCACGCCGCGGUGAAUACGUUCCCGGGCCUUGUACACACCGCCCGUCACACCAUGGGAGUUGGCUUUACCCGAAGGUGGUGCGCUAACCCGCAAGGGAGGCAGCCAACCACGGUCAGGUCAGCGACUGGGGUGAAGUCGUAACAAGGUAGCCGUAGGGGAACCUGCGGCUGGAUCACCUCCUUUCUAAGG
rnacentral:rRNA from 1 species